CCAGAAUCGGAACUCGGCUCCUUGUGACCCCACGGGGGGAGGGCCAAUGUAAUAACCUGCCCCAGGAGGAGAUCCUUUGCCGGCCCCGUCAGUCAGCUGGUGAGUGGCUCAUGCCUUUUAUAUCCCCCUUCACUCUCUGGAACCUGGAGCUACGUCUACACUGCAGCCUAGUCCACCUCCGAGCGACACAAGCACUUGUGCGCACAGCGCUCUGUCGGCGGGGGGCAGGGGGCUGCGUUUCUGCCGCUCCUAGAGAUCCUCCCUGGCUCUCGCACGGGCGGAUCCUGCCAGCCUUUGGGGAGGUUGGGAUCUGGACCCUCCACGCUGCUGAUGCACGGGACUCUCUGAUGCCCUCUAGAAGGUGAGAGAGAAGGACAGUCCAGCGGGUGAGACACUGCUGCCCUCUUAAAGCCUCCGCUCAGCCACCGCAGUCUUGCUUCUCCACCAGGCGGAGAUUCGGGGUGAGUCGUCUCCUGCUCAAAUCCGGCUCAUAUCUCUCCAGCUGUCUCAAACCAGUGGGGCAAGCUCCAUCCUGGUUUAGGAAUGGGCUGCCCUUGUCCACACUGGAGAGAGGAGGAGGGGGCCUGUGCCUGAUGGGCCUUGCCCUGCUGAGAGUGUAUCUGGGAGAAGUGUGAAAAGCAGGAGAAAGAGCCUGGAAAUCCAGCUCAGCUGGGGAAAGAAUCUGGCAACAGGCUGUAGAAUUAGCUUGUCUGCAACACUGGAUUGGACACAAGAGCCUGACUUGCGCAGAUGUCGUGCCCGAAGCAGUGCAGGGCACACACUGGGAAGCUGUUGAAGAUUGAUGGGAAGCCCUUGGUUGGGUGUUCCAGGUCUAGCUGUGGUCACCGACAUCAGAGAACCACAUGGAAACCACAGGCUCUCGGUGUAGAUCCAAGCUUGCCAGACUGUGGAGGUUCAUGGUCCCUCCAGCUCUGGCAAAAUGUGACUUCUGGGCUGCUCUUGAUGCCUGGCUGGUUCUCAUCCUAGGGAGUGGGUAGGAGAACGAGAACCUCUGUCUGCUUCACACUGGCCUCCUCAGGCCCAGGUCCAUUCUCAGUGUGACCAGGGUGGACUCAGACCCAGCUCACUCCACUGAAAUCAGUCUGGGUUUACACCUCUCAGAAUCCACCUGGCGGGUGCUCCUACAGUGCCUGAUGUCCCACGAGCCCCACAUCAAUGGCCAUCAGAUCUGCCAGGGCACCUUUGACAGAUGGAAACAGCUUCCAGCAGGAUUUCUCUGGAGAGGAUCCCCAAACCAAGGGGAUGGGGGAGGAAAGCAGCGAGUUAGCCUGAACCCCACGGCCUCCACUAUGCUUGGAAUGAGAGGUUACUGGAAAUGCUACAUCAGGUCAACAGGCGCUGACCCAGGAGAGUGGCCUUAAGCUAUGGUGAUGAAAUUCCUUUGUGAUGUUCCAUGUGUGAGUAGAGACAGGCAGCUCUGAGCAAUCAGAGGUGUGGGGAAGGAGGACUGUGCUGCAGUGGCAGCAGAUCCAGGAUUUCCUCUGAGGUUGUUCCGGAUUUCUCAGCUCUAGGGAGGGCAGAGCAUGGGCCCUCCUGCUCCAAAAGCCAGGCUCCUAAAGGAGACUCCCCCUCAGCCGUAUAGGAGCUGUGACACACAGCUCAGCUGCUCCAAUCAUCCAGCAGGGGGCAAUGGUUCAUACGCAGGCUAGCCCUUGGGGAUGUGCUGUAACAGGCUCCCUCUGGCUAGCCCCUACAGUCAGAUGCCUCUAAACAAGUGCUGUGGAUCGGAAAAGAGAAAGAGGCCGGAUGCCUUGAUCCAUCAAGGAGCCUGGGGUCUGAUUUUCCUCAGCCCACGGCAGCUCCACUGGUGCUACAUGUUGUCACAGGGGUGUAGGCAAUAGACAGAGAAUCUGAUGGGUCCAAAUGGUGUUUGUGCUGGGUAUCCACCUCACUUACACUGCCAUGUAUGUUCCCAUAUCUAUGUGUCUGCCAUGCAUGUGUCCCGCAUGGCUAUGCGUCUGCAUGGGUGUGCCCUGAGUGUGCCCGUAUCUUUGGGGAUGGAUGUGUGCCACACGUGUGCCCAUAUCCAUGUCUGCAUGUGCUAUGCGCGUGCCCAGCUGUACAUAUAUGCCAUGCGUGUUGGUGCAGGUGCGCUACCUGUUGCACACGGAAUCACAGAAUAUCAAGGUUGGAAGGGACCUCAGGAGGUAUCUAGUCCAACCCCCUGCUCAAAGCAGGGCUAAUCCUCACAUAUCUCAGGGCGUGUCAGAUGUGUGCCUAUGACCGUAUGUAUUCUGUGUGUGCCUGUCUCUCUGGGCAUGUGCCACAUAGGUGCCCAUAUUUAUGCAUGUGCCACGUGUUUGCCAAUCCUGUAUCUCUCUGUGUGUGAGGUCUGUGUCCAUAUCUCUGGGUGUGCCAGGUGUGUGCCACAGCUCUGUGUGCAUGUGCCAGGCAUGUGCCCGUAGCUCUGUGUGCAUGUGCCAGGCAUGGGCAUGUGCCCGUAGUUCUGUGUGCAUGUGCCAGGGGUGUGCCCGUAGCUCCGUGUGCAUGUGGGCCCGGUUUAGGAGCAGCUUCAUUCCAAACUUUCCAGAGUCACGAAACCCAGAGGUGUCAGUGGCCACCAGCGGUAACAGCAAAGGGUUGACACCACAGACAUUGGAUGGCGGGCGGGGGCGCCCCCGGUUCGUUUUUUGGGUCUCUGCUCCCCAACCAUCUUACCUGCGCCUGCCCCUUGCUGUGACAGCGGAGCCAAACACAA